GACGAACGCUGGCGGCGCGCCUAACACAUGCAAGUCGAACGAGCGAGAGAGAGCUUGCUUUCUCGAGCGAGUGGCGAACGGGUGAGUAACGCGUGAGGAACCUGCCUCAAAGAGGGGGACAACAGUUGGAAACGACUGCUAAUACCGCAUAAGCCCACGGGUCGGCAUCGACCAGAGGGAAAAGGAGCAAUCCGCUUUGAGAUGGCCUCGCGUCCGAUUAGCUAGUUGGUGAGGUAACGGCCCACCAAGGCAACGAUCGGUAGCCGGACUGAGAGGUUGAACGGCCACAUUGGGACUGAGACACGGCCCAGACUCCUACGGGAGGCAGCAGUGGGGAAUAUUGCACAAUGGGGGAAACCCUGAUGCAGCGACGCCGCGUGGAGGAAGAAGGUCUUCGGAUUGUAAACUCCUGUUGU
rnacentral:rRNA from 1 species